GGGCAUGUCAGUUAGAUGACUACCUCCCAGAGUUUCAGUAUCAGUCUCAGUAAAAGAACUCAGAUAGUUCUUUAGAAUUUAGGACUUCAGAUACAUUCAACUUAGAUAUAGUUUGGAAAUGAGCUAGUUCUAUCAGACUCAGGACUGUCAGAUAUAGUCACUUAUGUUAUCAGUUAUCAGAAUUCAGUCAUUAGUCAUGUUAGUCAUCUUCAUACUCAUGUUGUCACAAUU
rnacentral:lncRNA from 1 species